AGAGUUUGAUCCUGGCUCCGGACCAACGUUGGCGGUGCGCUUAAUGCAUGCCAGUCCAGGGAGAACCUUUCCAUCCCUAAGGACCGAAUGGGGAAACCGGCGAACGGGUGCGUAACACGUAAGGAACCUGCCCCGAAGACCGGGAUAGCCCGAGGAAACUCGGAUUAAUACCGGAUACCCUCCUCGGACCACAUGGUCUGUUGAGGAAAUGGUCCGCCGCUUCGGGAUGGCCUCGCGGCCCUAUCAGCUUGUUGGUGAGGUAAUGGCUCACCAAGGCAAAGACGGGUAGCUGGUCUGAGAGGACGAUCAGCCACACUGGGACUGAGACACGGCCCAGACUCCUACGGGAGGCAGCAGCAGGGAAUAUUGCACAAUGGGCGAAAGCCUGAUGCAGCGACACCGCGUGCGGGAUGAAGGCCCUCGGGUUGUAAACCGCUUUCAGGAGGGACGAAAAUGACGGUACCUCCAGAAGAAGGCCCGGCCAACUACGUGCCAGCAGCCGCGGUAAUACGUAGGGGCCAAACGUUGUCCGGAUUUAUUGGGCGUAAAGGGCUCGUAGGCGGUUCAACAAGUCGAUCGUGAAAGCUCGGGGCUCAACCCCGGGACGCCGGUCGAAACUGUUGUGACUAGGGUCCGGUAGAGGUGAGUGGAAUUCUCGGUGUAGCGGUGGAAUGCGCAGAUAUCGAGAGGAACACAGUU
rnacentral:rRNA from 1 species